GGCAGCCCCUUUGGGCUGCUCUCUUUUCUCAUUCUCUUCUCCUAUCCUCUCCUCCUCUCUUUUCAUUUUCUUUAGUUUCUUUAGUUUUAUUUUGAGAAUUUUGAAAGACUCACUCAAGGCUUUAAGGGAAUCAUCAUCAAGAGUACCACACCUCUAUUUUGGGUAGUUGGGUGAAGAAAUUGUUUGGUUCAUACUAGCUCAUAACUAGAAAUGACCAAGCUAACUCUCCCCUCUCUUCCUUAUUAUCUAUUCCAUAAUUUUAUUUUCUAUUGAUGAUGUAUUUAACUAUGGAUAGUGAGUAGUUCAAUUUUGGGAGUUAGGGUUGUGAACCCCUAACUCAUCUUGUAUAAAUAUUGAUGCUUUAAUUUUAAUAAAUGCAAUUUCCAUUGUGCUUUGUCACCAUUUGAAAUUAUGUUGUGGGCAAUUGUGAUGAAUAGAUUGAUAAAUUGACAACUUAUUGGUCUUGUUGCAUCUAGAAUUUAAGUGUGGUAACCAUUAGCUAGCUUAAUUGUAGCUAAGCUUGCUUGGGUCUCUAUUAUCUUGCACUCUAGGCCUCUAAUUUUAGAUAUUGCGGCCUUAACCGGCGUAAUGCCUAAAUUAGAGAGUUGAUUGUGGCCCUAACCGGCAUAAUCGAUACACCGAAAGGAUAAUUGGUUUAGUAGCCUUGACCGGUACUAGAUACGGGACUUGACACAUAUAGGAAAUGCAUGCAUUUGUGAAAUUGACAUUGAUAUUUGCAUGAGAGUUAGUGUGAAUCACCCGACGCUCCCAUAUUCCCAUUAAUUUGAAAACCCAAAUUUAAUUUUCUAGUUCGUUAAUUAGUUGUUUAGUUUACUUUUCGGUUGCGUUUAAUUUAGCUGAUUCCCAAUUCAAAACCCCCUACAAAUUUCGACUCAUUUGUGCAUAUCCACCGCUAGGCUCUUAGUUUUGAUUAGGCUUUGGUGAAAACCAAAGCCGAGCAUUGCUAAGGCUUGGUGCCUUAGAUUAGCCUUUUUAUUCACUUUAUUUUUAUUUUGUUUGCUUAGUGACUUUAGUUCCGACCACCCAAGGAUUGUGGGUUAGCCACUAAUCCCCGUGGUACGAUAAUCUUUGGGCUCAAUAUUUCCCUUACUUGACAACGAUUCGUACGCUUGCGAAAGUUUAUGAGUCAAGUC
rnacentral:lncRNA from 1 species